rfam:Dipodomys ordii contig_18435, whole genome shotgun sequence.
GGGAAGGUGGCUCAGUGGUAGAGUGCUUGCCUUGCAUGCACGAGGUCCUGGGUUCCAUUUCUCAGCACCCCA